rnacentral:rRNA from 1 species
CCCUUAGAUGUUCUGGGCUGCACGCGCGCUACACUGAUGCAUGCAACGAGUUUUCGACCUUGCCUGAAAAGGUUGGGUAAUCUGUUUAACAUGUGUCGUGAUGGGGAUAGACCAUUGCAAUUAUUGAUCUUCAACGAGGAAUUCCUAGUAAGCGCGAGUCAUCAGCUCGUGCUGAUUAUGUCCCUGCCCUUUGUACACACCGCUCGUCGCUCCUACCGAUUGAGUGAUCCGGUGAAUGAUUCGGACCAGCGUGCUGCUCAGAUCCUGCGCAGUGUGCUGGGAAGUCUAGUGAACCUUAUCACUUAGAGGAAGGAGAAGUCGUAACA